UCCCCCUUCGAUUGUAGAAACCCUACCGGAACCUUUGUAAAUCGUUGCUUUUUGUGUUAGUGGAGAAAGAAAUGGAAAGAAUUCGCGAUGAAGAUGGUCUGUUUGAGCUGACGAAGGAGGAUUUGAAGAAAGUGGCUAAGGGAGAUGAUAGUACUUUUUAUCAGAUGCAAGAUACGUUGCUAGACAAACCUCUGAUGGCUGGAAGACAGUGACUUUCACUAGAAGGAAAACUACCAAAAAAUGACCAAUGAAGGAAGGUAAGCGAA